rnacentral:rRNA from 1 species
UAGGGAAUCUUCCACAAUGGACGCAAGUCUGAUGGAGCAACGCCGCGUGAGUGAAGAAGGUUUUCGGACCGUAAAGCUCUGUUAUUGGUGAAGAAGGAUAGAGGUAGUAACUGGCCUUUAUUUGACGGUAAUCAACCAGAAAGUCACGGCUAACUACGUGCCAGCAGCCGCGGUAAUACGUAGGUGGCAAGCGUUGUCCGGAUUUAUUGGGCGUAAAGCGAGCGCAGGCGGAAGAAUAAGUCUGAUGUGAAAGCCCUCGGCUUAACCGAGGAAUUGCAUCGGAAACUGUUUUUCUUGAGUGCAG